GUGAACGCUGGCGGUAGGCCUAACACCUGCAAGUCGAACGGCAGCACAGUAAGAGCCUGCUCUUACGGGUGGCGAGUGGCGGACGGGUGAGGAAUACAUCGGAAUCUACUUUUUCGUGGGGGAUAACGUAGGGAAACUUACGCUAAUACCGCAUACGACCUACGGGUGAAAGCAGGGGAUCUUCGGACCUUGCGCGAUUGAAUGAGCCGAUGUCGGAUUAGCUAGUUGGCGGGGUAAAGGCCCACCAAGGCGACGAUCCGUAGCUGGUCUGAGAGGAUGAUCAGCCACACUGGAACUGAGACACGGUCCAGACUCCUACGGGAGGCAGCAGUGGGGAAUAUUGGACAAUGGGCGCAAGCCUGAUCCAGCCAUACCGCGUGGGUGAAGAAGGCCUUCGGGUUGUAAAGCCCUUUUGUUGGGAAAGAAAAGCAGCAGGUUAAUACCCCGCUGUUCUGACGGUACCCAAAGAAUAAGCACCGGCUAACUUCGUG
rnacentral:rRNA from 1 species